CUAUACAUGACUCUGCGCAUAUCAAUAAGCGGAGGAAAAGAAACUAACAAGGAUUCCCUUAGUAACGGCGAGUGAAGCGGGAAGAGCUCAAAUUUGAAAUCUUCAAGGUUUUACCUUGACGAAUUGUAGUUUAAAGAAGUGUUUUCUGCUGAAGUUUUGGUAAAAGUUCUUUGGAAUAGGACAUCAUAGAGGGUGAGAAUCCCGUAUUUGACCAUUAUUUUCAGCUUUGUGAUACACUUUCAAAGAGUCGGAUUGUUUGGGAAUGCAGUCCAAAAUGGGUGGUAAAUUUCAUCUAAAGCUAAAUAUUGGCGAGAGACCGAUAGCGAACAAGUACCGUGAGGGAAAGAUGAAAAGAACUUUGAAAAGAGAGUUAAACAGUACGUGAAAUUGUCCAAAAGGGAAGCGUUUGACACCAGUGUUGUUUUCUCGAAAAUCAAUUAAAAAUGGCUCGAUUUUGUAUUGUUGAGACCUUAAAAGCUCACUGUACAUUUUUCGUGUCUUUUUUAAUGCACUUUUCGUUUAACAAGUCAACAUCAGUUUCUUUUGUUGUAAAAGGGUCAUUGGAAGGUGGCUUUCUUUUCGGAGAAAGUGUUUAUAGCCUUUGGCCUCUGCAAUCGGAGAGACUGAGGUCUGCAGCGUAGACUCUUCGGGGUUAGAUACAUUUGUGCUAAGUUAUAGCUUUUUAUAGACAACUUGUUGACUAUAAUUAGUCUUGUAGCUUACUCGCUUAUGCUAUUUUACCUACGCUUAGGAUGUUGAAGAUGUAGCACAUCAU
rnacentral:rRNA from 1 species